UUAACAUCGUGCUUAAUUAAAAAGGAAACGUAUUUCUUCCAAUCAGAGAGCAGCUACGGCCCAACGAUCGACGAAUCAGUACGUUCGGCGUCAGUCUGCUGUUGGACGUCGUGGGGAUAGGACGAAUGGAGCUGCAAUGGGAAAUUGUCGGUUUACAUUCGUGUUCGAUAUGUCGUACGACUUUCCACGAACAAAUUCCCACUCCAAUUUAUAAUUUCGUAAACAAAAUCGUGUCGCGUAGUAUCAUUCUAUUAUCGAAAGUUGAACUAGUAGGACGUUUUGCUAC